CCCAUAAUGCCAGUGGCUGGGGGAAUUCCACUAAGUGCAUCUGCUACAAUGCUUAGUGCUGGUUACCAGGCCAAACAAAUACACUGUGAGACCUGUGGCUCUUUCCUAGAUUUGGUUUCUGGAACAUGUGCUGGCUAAGCUGGUUUCAGGUGGAUUGCUGUUUACUCCAUCAUCCCUAAUGACACACUGCUCCUGUCCAGGGUGCCCCAGCUCCCGUGUGCCUGGCUGGCAUGCAGGUGACAGUCAUUGCUGUGUUGCAGCCAAAACGUGGAGUCUGUGGACAGCUGAAGUCCCAGUGGUGGAGCAGGGCCUGGAGCACAGGCUAUCCUGAUGGGAGAUACAGAGAGGCAUGGAAGGUUGAGAUGGAGAGCCCAGAGCCUGGAGGAACUGCUGAGCAGAAAACCUGACAGUGGCUGCAGUUAAUCCUUGUCUCUGGAGAAUGAGAAAUUCUGUGAAGAGAUGACUUUAUAAACUCAAAAGAUGUGUUGAUGCACAGAACAGCACACAGGACUUAUGGGAGAAGAAGCCAGUGCAGAUCCAUGCCCACAGCAGCAAUGCAUAAAGGGCUGGGUGCAAGUCCUACAGAAGGUAGCUAAAGU